rnacentral:rRNA from 1 species
AUGACCACAAAUUUUGGGGGCAAUACUGGGACUGGAUCGGAUUCUGAAGGCAUGAAGGCAUCUAAGACCAGUUUUGCUCUUCUUGCAUUUGGGCUUCCUCUUCUACUAUUCUUUCGAGUGCUGACACGGGUAACACAUAUUCAGAGUGCGAAGGGAAGAGAAAGCAUUGGGGAGCUUCUUAUUGUUGCACAGGGAAGGCUUCUGGAAUUUAAGAAUUCCAGUGUUAAUGGGGAGGAGGAUGAGGUGAUAUACAAGUUUGGAUUGACACUUGACUCCCUUGAUAGAUUGUACGAAGCUGUUGAGUUGCAUGGAAAUCAAAAAGAUGACUGGACAAGGUUGAAGGAGUACAUCUUUUGUCUUGCAAAACCUGGUGUGGCCAUAUGUGUAAACGUUCCAUGCAUGCUUCGGUCAAGGGAGCUUUCAACGCCGCGCUUCUCCCUCGCGCCACCCCUCGCCACUGCAUCUUCGCAUGCGCGCCUCCCAGCGACCGCCCGACCGCCCCGCCGCUACCUUGUUGCCUUCUUGCCCCCCGCCGCUCUUCUGCCCGACGUCGAGCCCGUUAGGCCCAUAUCGUCGUUGCCGGAAUCAAGGUCAUUUGCACGCGUCGCUGCCUGCCGGUUUGGUCUAAACGACACCAGCCAUAUGCUGGCGCCCACCACUAAUAAGACAAUAGCAAUGGCGGGCGUUGAUUUUCACCCGCCACUGGUACUUCCUCUGUAUAAAUACAGGAGCGUUGGGUUGGAGGGGCACCAAACCCACAGCUCCUUCCGCUCCUUUUACCCAGUUGAAGACAGCAGCCAGCUUCUUGGCAUAGAUCUCAGACGUGCGUUUCAGCGGGGAAGAAGAAGGAUGCCUGACCACAACGGGGUAAAGAAGGGCAUGUGGGACUUCCUCUGCGGCUGCUUCUCCCCCUCCGGCACUAAUGAUUGA